GGUGAAGAACGUAGCGAAAUGCGAUAAGUAGUGUGAAUUGCAGAAUUCAGUGAAUCAUCGAAUCUUUGAACGCACAUUGCGCCCCUUGGUAUUCCAUGGGGCAUGCCUGUUCGAGCGUCAUUUGUACCUUCAAGCUCUGCUUGGUGUUGGGUGUUUGUCUCGCCUCUGCGUGUAGACUCGCCUCAAAACAAUUGGCAGCCGGCGUAUUGAUUUCGGAGCGCAGUACAUCUCGCGCUUUGCACUCAUAACGACGACGUCCAAAAGUACAUUUUUACACUCUUGACCUCGGAUCAGGUAGGGAUACCCGCUGAACUUAAGCAUAUCAAUAAGCGGAGG
rnacentral:misc_RNA from 1 species